rnacentral:rRNA from 1 species
AACGAACGCUGGCGGCAGGCUUAACACAUGCAAGUCGAGCGCCCCGCCAGGGGAGCGGCAGACGGGUGAGUAACACGUGGGAACGUACCUUUUGCUUCGGCAUAGCUCCGGGAAACUGGAAUUAAUACCGUAUGUGCACUUCGGGGGGAAGAUUUAUCGGCAAAAGAUCGGCCCGGGUCUGAUUAGCUAGUUGGUGGGGUAAUGGCCUACCAAGGCGACGAUCAGUAGCUGGUCUGAGAGGAUGAUCAGCCAAACUGGGACCGAGACACGGCCCAGACUCCUACGGGAGGCAGCAGUGGGGAAUAUUGAACAAUGGGCGCAAGCCUGAUCCAGCCAUGCCGCGUGAGUGAUGAAGGCCUUAGGGUUGUAAAGCUCUUUCGCUAGGGAAGAUAAUGACGGUACCUAGAGAAGAAGCCCCGGCUAACUUCGUGCCAGCCGCCGCCGUAAAAC